rnacentral:rRNA from 1 species
CACCCGCAGCACGAGUAGUGGUCACUUUUAUUGAGCCUAAAGCGUUCGUAGCCGGUUUUGUGAAUCUUCAGAUAAAGCCUGAAGCUUAACUCCAGAAAGUCUGAAGAGACUGCAAGACUUGAGAUCGGGUGAGGUUAAACGUACUUUCAGGGUAGGGGUAAAAUCCUGUAAUCCCGGAAGGACGACCAGUGGCGAAAGCGUCUAACUAGAACGAAUCUGACGGUAAGGAACGAAGGCUAGGGUAGCAAACCGGAUUAGAAACCCUAGUAGUCC